rnacentral:tRNA from 1 species
GGGGGAGUAGACCAACGGCAGAGUCAGUGGACUUAAAAUCCACAAAGUGUGGGUUCGAAUCCCACCUCCCCUACCA